GGGAAGAUGGCCGAGCGGUCUAAGGCGCCACGUUAAGGAAAUAUCCUUGAUCAUUCUUCACUCUUCCGAGUGGAUUAAAUCCGUGGUCUCGUAAGAGGCGUGGGUUCAAAUCCCACUCUUCUCA